ensembl:lncRNA
CAGCGAGGCUAAGCUAGUGGGGGCAAAGUUUCAGUACAUUCCGUUGAUGUAGACGGCGUGAAAACGGAAACAAGAAGUAUGCCGGCUCACUGUGCUGCAUACAAUUACACACUACGUCGUACGAUUGAGACAAGGAAACUUGGAAUGACUUUUCAUAGACCAAAGAACUACAGACUCUUCACAACCUGCUCAAACUCUUGGUACAGGACCUCACCACACGGGUCAAGAAGGUUUCCGUCUCAUUUCUACUCUGAAGCUCACCUUCUCCUGCUCAAACUGCUGACAAAUGUUUCUGCUGCUCUAAAGUCUGGUCUCCAGAACUUCCUAAAGACUCUCAAAGUCUCUUCUGCUGCAGGUUGCUUUGUAGAACUGUUCCAGAAAACCUCACUAAACCACAUGGAGGAGCCUCAAGAUAGUCGUCCAAAUGAAACCAUACAAAAACCAAACUAGCACAACCCAAACACUAAAGUCUCCUGCAGCCUACCAGAGAACCUCUGAGAACAGAGAAUCAGGACAGGAACUCUUACCUUCUGGACAACCAACGUUGGUUCUCAAACAAGAAUACAGAAUGUGUCUGACCAAAAACCUCUGAAGACUCACUACAGCCAAGAUAAAGACACAACUCAGCUGCACCAAAUCCACUAAUCACUGCACACAUUAGGACCAUGUGCUAACUGUGGCUAAAGAACCUCAUUUACCAAGACAACUAUCCAGUACAAAGC